rnacentral:rRNA from 1 species
CCUACGGGUGGCAGCAGUGGGGAAUAUUGCACAAUGGGGGAAACCCUGAUGCAGCGACGCCGCGUGAGUGAAGAAGUAUCUCGGUACGUAAAGCUCUAUCAGCAGGGAAGAAAAUGACGGUACCUGACUAAGAAGCCCGGCUAACUACGUGCCAGCAGGCGCGGUAAGACGUAGGGGGCCAGCGUUAUCCGGAUUUACUGGGUGUAAAGGGAGCGUAGACGGCGCUGCAAGUCCGGAGUGAAAGCCCAGGGCUUAACCAUGGUACUGCCCUUGAAACUGUAGAGCUUGAGUGCGGGAGGGGCAGGCGGAAUUCCUAGUGUAGCGGUGAAAUGCGUAGAUAUUAGGAGGAACACCGGCGGCGAAGGCGGACUGCUGGACCGUAACUGACGUUGAGGCUCGAAAGCGUGGGGAGCAAACAGGAUUAGAUACCCCUGUAGUC